rnacentral:rRNA from 1 species
GAUGAACGCUGGCGGCGUGCCUAAUACAUGCAAGUCGAACGAACAGACGAUGAGCUUGCUCCUCUGACGUUAGCGGCGGACGGGUGAGUAACACGUGUAUAACCUACCUAUAAUACUGGGAUAACUUCGGGAAACCGGAGCUAAUACCGGAUAAUAUAUUGAACCGCAUGGUUCAAUAGUGAAAGACGGUUUUGCUGUCACUUAUAGAUGGAUCCGCGCCGCAUUAGCUAGUUGGUAAGGUAACGGCUUACCAAGGCAAGGAUGCGUAGCCGAACUGAUAGGGUGAUAGGCGACACGGGAAGGGAGACACGGUCAAUACUCCUACGGGAGGCAGCAGUAGGGAAUGUUCGGCAACGGGGGAAAGCAUGACGGAGCAAGGCCGAGUGAGUGAUGAAGGUCUCCGGAGCGUAAAAAUCUGUUAUUAGGGAAGAACAAAUGUGUAAGUAACUAUGCACGUCUUGACGGUACCUAAUCAGAAAGCAACGGCUAACUACGUG